GACGAACGCUGGCGGCGUGCUUAACACAUGCAAGUCGAACGGAAAGGCCCUGCUUUUGUGGGGUGCUCGAGUGGCGAACGGGUGAGUAACACGUGAGUAACCUGCCCUUGACUUUGGGAUAACUUCAGGAAACUGGGGCUAAUACCGGAUAGGAGCUCCUGCUGCAUGGUGGGGGUUGGAAAGUUUCGGCGGUUGGGGAUGGACUCGCGGCUUAUCAGCUUGUUGGUGGGGUAGUGGCUUACCAAGGCUUUGACGGGUAGCCGGCCUGAGAGGGUGACCGGCCACACUGGGACUGAGAGACGGCCCAGACUCCUACGGGAGGCAGCAGUGGGGAAUAUUGCACAAUGGGCGGAAGCCUGAUGCAGCAAAGCCGCGUGCGGGAUGACGGCCUUCGGGUUGUAAACGGCUUGCGCCUGUGACGAAGCGUGAGUGACGGUAAUGGGUAAAGAAGCACCGGCUAACUACGUG
rnacentral:rRNA from 1 species